rnacentral:rRNA from 1 species
CGCGUAGUUAGCCGGAGCUUAUUCUUCAGGUACCGUCAUUUCUUUCUUCCCUGACUAAAGAACUUUACAAUCCGAAGACCUUCUUCAUUCACGCGGCAUUGCUGGGUCAGAGUUUCCUCCAUUGCCCAAUAUUCCCCACUGCUGCCUCCCGUAGGAGUCUGGGCCGUAUCUCAGUCCCAAUGUGGCCGAUCACCCUCUCAGGUCGGCUACGCAUCGUCGCCUUGGUGGGCCGUUACCUCACCAACUAGCUAAUGCGACGCGAGUCCAUCUCAUACCGGAUUGCUCCUUUUACCCCUCUGCCAUGCGGCAGUGUGGUCUUAUACCGUAUUAACUGAAGUUUCCCUCAGGUAUCCCGUUGUAUGAGGCAGGUUACUCACGCGUUACUCACCCGUUCGCCACUAGGAUAUUGCUAUCCCCGUUCGACUUGCAUGUGUUAGGCAUGCCGCCAGCGUCGUCUCGUAGCCACGGAGUCAAACUACUA